rnacentral:rRNA from 1 species
AGAGUUUGAUCAUGGCUCAGGAUGAACGCUAGCGGGAGGCUUAACACAUGCAAGUCGAGGGGCAUCACGAGGUAGCAAUACUUUGGUGGCGACCGGCGCACGGGUGAGUAACGCGUAUGCAACCUACCCUGUACAGUGGGAUAACCCGGAGAAAUUCGGACUAAUACCGCAUAAAGAUAUUUUGAGGCAUCUUAAGAUAUUUAAAGCUUAGGUGGUACGGGAUGGGCAUGCGUAACAUUAGCUGGUUGGUAGGGUAACGGCCUACCAAGGCGAUGAUGUUUAGGGGACCUGAGAGGGUGAUCCCCCACACUGGUACUGAGACACGGACCAGACUCCUACGGGAGGCAGCAGUGAGGAAUAUUGGUCAAUGGGCGGAAGCCUGAACCAGCCAUCCCGCGUGCAGGAAGACAGCCCUAUGGGUUGUAAACUGCUUUUCCAGUGGGCGAAACACUCGUACGUGUACGAGAUUGACGGUACACUGGGAAUAAGCAUCGGCUAACUCCGUGCCAGCAGCCGCGGUAAUACGGAGGAUGCAAGCGUUAUCCGGAUUUAUUGGGUUUAAAGGGUGCGUAGGCGGAUGAAUAAGUCAGUGGUGAAAGGCUGCAGCUUAACUGUAGACUUGCCGUUGAUACUGUUUAUCUUGAGUAUGGUCAAGGCAGGCGGAAUGUGUAAUGUAGCGGUGAAAUGCUUAGAUAUUACACAGAACACCGAUUGCGAAGGCAGCUUGCUGGGCCAUUACUGACGCUGAUGCACGAAAGCGUGGGGAGCGAACAGGAUUAGAUACCCUGGUAGUCCACGCCGUAAACUAUGAUCACUAGCUGUUGGCGAUACACAGUCAGCGGCAAAGCAAAAGCAUUAAGUGAUCCACCUGGGGAGUACGGCCGCAAGGCUGAAACUCAAAGGAAUUGACGGGGGCCCGCACAAGCGGAGGAACAUGUGGUUUAAUUCGAUGAUACGCGAGGAACCUUACCUGGGCUUAAAUGUAGAGUGCAUGAGGUAGAAAUACUUCUUUCCUUCGGGACUUUCUGCAAGGUGCUGCAUGGUUGUCGUCAGCUCGUGCCGUGAGGUGUCGGGUUAAGUCCCAUAACGAGCGCAACCCUUAUCGUUAGUUGCCAGCGGGUCAAGCCGGGAACUCUACGAAACUGCCGGUGUAAACCGAGAGGAAGGUGGGGAUGACGUCAAAUCAGCACGGCCCUUAUGUCCAGGGCUACACACGUGUUACAAUGGCCGGUACAGAGGGCAGCUAUGCCGAGAGGGGAUGCGAAUCUCGAAAGCCGGUCUCAGUUCGGAUCGGAGUCUGCAACCCGACUCCGUGAAGCUGGAUUCGCUAGUAAUCGCGCAUCAGCCAUGGCGCGGUGAAUACGUUCCCGGGCCUUGUACACACCGCCCGUCAAGCCAUGGAAGUUGGGGGUACCUGAAGUCCGUAACCGCAAGGAGCGGCCUAGGGUAAAACCAGUGACUGGGGCUAAGUCGUAACAAGGUAGCCGUACCGGAAGGUGUGGCUGGAUCACCUCCUU